rnacentral:misc_RNA from 1 species
UCCGAGUUGACCCCGGCAGUCUCCUAUGAGUCCCCGGCAUUAUCCGCUGGCAACAUAGAGCGAGGGUUGCGCUCGUUGCGGGACUUAACCCAACAUCUCACGACACGAGCUGACGACAACCAUGCACCACCUGUGCACGACCCUUACGGACCUCCCAUCUCUGGAAGAUUUCCGUGCAUGUCAAACCCAGGUAGGUUCUUCGCGUUGCAUCGAAUUAAUCCGCAUGCUCCGCCGCUUGUGCGGGCCCCCGUCAAUUCCUUUGAGUUUUAGCCUUGCGGCCGUACUCCCCAGGCGGGGCACUUAAUGCGUUAGCUUCGGCACGGAGAACGUGGAAUGUUCCCCACAUCUAGUUCCCAACGUUUACGGGGUGGACUAC